rnacentral:rRNA from 1 species
GAUGAACGCUAGCGGCAGGCUUAACACAUGCAAGUCGAGGGGCAACACGGGUAGCAAUACCUGGUGGCGACCGGCGCAAGGGUGCGUAACGCGUGAGCAACAUACCCUAUACAGGGGGAUAAUCCAGGGAAACUUGGUCUAAUAUCCCAUAGGAUUUACAGAUGUCAUCAUCUAUAAAUUAAAGCUUCGGUGGUAUAGGAUUGGCUCGCGUGACAUUAGCUAGAUGGUGGGGUAACGGCCUACCAUGGCCAUGAUGUCUAGGGGUUCUGAGAGGAACGACCCCCCAACUGGGACUGAGACACGGCCCAGACUCCUACGGGAGGCAGCAGUGAGGAAUAUUGGACAAUGGAUGGAAAUCUGAUCCAGCCAUGCCGCGUGCAGGAAGACGGCCCUAUGGGUUUAAACUGUACUUUUAUAUGGGAGCAAGUAAGGUCUACGCGUAGACCGAUGAGAGUACCAUAUGAAUAAGCAUCGGCUAACCUCCG